rnacentral:sRNA from 1 species
UAGUCUAGAGUUCGGUUCGAUGGUUGUC